GAGCGCGGUGCCUGAGGGGACAAGGCGCCAGGCUGUGAGCCUGGGGCCUGAAGGGACGUGGCGCUCAUCGGCCCCCAGAGGUGAUUCUGCCUGCAUGACGUCCUCCGUUCCGGAGGCGAGCUCGCCGCAUGCGCCACAUCAGGAUCAAAAAUAGAAAGAAAAAAAAAGAAGAAAAGAAGAAGCGGAAGAAGCUGCGGAGGCGGCGGAGGCGGCAAGGAGGAGGGGCCUCGCGCAGCGAUGGAGGAGGCAGCGGGGACGUGGGGACGCGACUUUGUGUAGGCGGGUCGUGGGGCGCCCAUGGCGGAGUGUGGCCCGGGCGCCACAGGUGGGGCCCUGCCCACCUCCCCCGGCCGGGCCCUCAGCGCCAAUGGCGCCCUGAUAGCGGGAGCCCGAGAAGGCGCGGUAGCGCCAAGGGCGGUCGCCUUAGCCAAGGUCUGGCGCGCUAUGACAGCGGCGGGGUUUCCCACAGAGACUACAGACUCGCAGUGUCGGGGGACAAAAGUCCGGGCCAGCCCUGCCAGGGAACCUCGAGGCAUGGUGCUCUGGCCGACCCCUAGCCGGGUCGCUGGUCUGGUCCCCAGGGACAGCAAGCUGAGCGGCCUGUGAGCAGCAGCAGCGUCAAGGUUUCGGUAGGAAGGCAUCAUCCUGAAAUGAUAUCAGUAAGCAAGAGAAGCGUCUAAAGAAAUUGGAAGAACUAAAAUUUGAAACCCAGAAGUGUAAAUUCCAGAGGGAUGUACUUUCUCAAAUCCUGGACCUUUAUAUCUAUGAUGAUUGGGACUAUAGGCUGGAUGUUGAAUUGCCUAUACUUCAAUCUGAACGUGGGAUGAGAAUGAUGGCUGUGCAUUAAAUGAACAACUCAAUAUGUGACGCCAUGGAGAAGUACAAGGAGCUCAUACAAGAGAACAAUUCCUACACAUCAGGCACUUCCAGCUCCUGCGUGAACGGACUCCAUAGAAGAACAAUAUAAAGAUUUUGCUGUAUGAGAACAAAAAACUGAUGGUGGAGCAGACUGUUCUGCCAGCAUCCUGUGUGGAGGCAAAGAGGUUCUGUGAAGAGGCCGGAAUGAACAUCUGUGUCCCCAGAGCCAAGCAGUUGCAGGUCCAGCAAGUAUCUGCAUAGCAAGAUUUCCUGAAGUGGAAAUGAGUACAGGCCAGGGCAGCACAGCCUGCUUGACUGUAAGAGACUUGUACAUAACAUAGCUCCCACUAAUUCUUCAUUCAACAGAAAACCUGCUGGAUAAAAGGUAUGUUUUCCUUAGUGUGUGUGUGUUUGUGUGUGUGUGUGUGUGUGUGUGUGUGUGUGUGUGUGUGUGUGUAUGUGUGUGUGUGCAUGUGUGUGUAUUUGUGUUUUAGUUUGUGCAAAAAUAUAACUGUGUUGCCUAUUUCCAAGUUUACUGAGAAAACCACUCUGAGAGUUCACUUUGCGUCAUGAAACAUCAAAUACAGCAGCCCAAUCAUUUUGGCCUCUCCUCCUAGCUCUGUACAGCAAAAGGACACAAAAGCACUUGUAAAGUUCAAUUUUAACGGUAUUAGGGGCAAACCUACCAAUCUGCAUUGAAAUCCUUUGGAGCACAUUAAAGGAAUGGAGUACAUGGAGGUAAGGGGGAGGCUUCUCUAUAAAAUCCAUGAGUUUAUAUUCCUUCUUUGUCCUUUGUGAAUUGUGAAAGCCCACUGAAAGGUUAUGUCACUCACUGUGUCUUCUCCAAGCUUGUUUUACACAUUGCCUGCUCCCAUUUCUUUCCAGCUACCUUGGCACAGUACAACUUCACCUUGGAGUCUGGCUUGGAUUGUAUUCACUGAGAAAUUGAGUUGCAUGGAGUUGUAUUGGCAUCCAGCAGAAGCCCCAUAGCUGUGCUGUGGUUCAAGAACAGGGCAGGUUCAGGAGCGGCUUUAGAUGCACAAAUAACCUAAAGCAUCCCCUGUGUUAUCUGUGUAGCAUUCUGCAAGGGCUGUUAGUCAACAUCAUUUUCUCUGAGUUAAAGUCAGCCUCAGUGGGGGAUAGGAGGAAUGAGGAUCUUAAGACAGGUCUGGUAGUGUAAGAACAGGUAGGCCUAUGAGAAGCCAUGUACAGAAAUUGGAACAGAAGUUUUAGUUGACCCAAAGAUUACAGAACAAGGAGUAGGUGUCAACAGAGCAACUAGGGCUCAUCAGUGCUGUGGUAGUCCCCGAGCAGCCCUGAAGGAGAAUCUGUCCAGACGUCCAUCAGCUAAGGGAGUGAAAAUGUACUAUACGGUGGGGCCAUUCCAUGCAUUAUGACUCAGUGUAAGAUAAUCCAUGCAAGCAUUUACUUACUUACUCAAAAUAUCUGUGACACAAUCACAUUAUGGGGAGAAAAACUGUUCAUUUGUAUCCUGGGUAUGGAGAUUUCCUAUGAUUCUGUUCCAAUAGCCUUGGGCACGAAGUCAUUCAAGUUAAGGUAAAGAGAGCUGCUAUUAGAAGAAGCUGCACACUUUGGGGGCAAGCCUGAAACAGUGGCCAAGAACAGAGUCUAAUCCACCACCAACAUAUGAUCCUUUGCUGGGAAACAAGCCUGCUCUACACAGCCUUGGGAACGAGCUAAGCCAGAUUGGGGAAUAAGAAUAAGGAAGGAUUAGAGGAAACAAUGCAGGACACUCUGAAGCAGAGAGAACUGAUCACCCAGGAAAGUGACUUGGGAGAAACAGUGUAGAAGAAUUGUGACAUCUUUGAGAUCAGGUCUAAAAUUCUCCAGCGAAACUCGAACAUGGCAUAGACCAGAACAAGAUCUCCCUUGGAGAGCAGUGCCACAGGAGGAGUCUAAGUGUGCACAACAAAUACACCACUAUUACAUCGCAUCCUUAAUAUCCAUAGCAGUUGUGGGCUGCAUUUUCCUACUUUAGUUUGAUUUCUUUGGAUUGAAUAGGCCAUACUUUCAUCUCGGCUCUCCCGAGCAAGCGUGCACAUUUGAAGAAGCGUGCACAGAGAAGAGCUGAUGCACAUCAAUCGAGAACUGCUGAGCAUCCAGGAAGAGUGUGCACAUGUACAUUUGUACUUGUCCUGAAGGGUCACCCAGAAGAGUUUCAUGGAGAUCAGUCCACAACAUUGGAAAAACUUUGAGUCAAAGACUGUCAUAUGUUUUAUACUCAGUAUUGGAUGGCUUUGUCCUUCAUACCCUCACUCCAACAAGGCAGACCUACUUACAUUCCCCUUGAAAAGAUUAUUACCAUCAGUAACUGCUUGUCUACUGUGUUUCCAAGGCAAGUCAUUGGCUAUAAGUCAAUUCUG
ensembl:lncRNA LOC103692795 uncharacterized LOC103692795